rnacentral:rRNA from 1 species
GAUGAACGCUGGCGGCGUGCCUAAUACAUGCAAGUCGAGCGAACGGACGAGAAGCUUGCUUCUCUGAUGUUAGCGGCGGACGGGUGAGUAACACGUGGAUAACCUACCUAUAAGACUGGGAUAACUUCGGGAAACCGUAGCUAGUACCGGAUAUUAUUUUGAACCGCAUGGUUCAAAAGUGAAAGACGGUCUUGCUGUCACUUAUAGAUGGAUCCGCGCUGCAUUAGCUAGUUGGUAAGGUAACGGCUUACCAAGGCAACGAUGCAUAGCCGACCUGAGAGGGUGAUCGGCCACACUGGAACUGAGACACGGUCCAGACUCCUACGGGAGGCAGCAGUAGGGAAUCUUCCGCAAUGGGCGAAAGCCUGACGGAGCAACGCCGCGUAAGUGAUGAAGGUCUUCGGAUCGUAAAACUCUGUUAUUAGGGAAGAACAUAUGUGUAAGUAACUGUGCACAUCUUGACGGUACCUAAUCAGAAAGCCACGGCUAACUACGUG